rnacentral:misc_RNA from 1 species
UAGGGUUCGAUUCCGGAGAGG